rnacentral:rRNA from 1 species
UUNUGAACUGGGUGACUAGAGUGUGUCAGAGGGAGGUAGAAUUCCACGUGUAGCAGUGAAAUGCGUAGAGAUGUGGAGGAAUACCGAUGGCGAAGNCAGCCUCCUGGGAUAACACUGACGUUCAUGCCCGAAAGCGUGGGUAGCAANCAGGAUUAGAUACCCUGGUAGUNCACGCCCUAAACGAUGUCGAUUAGCUGUUGGGCAGCAUGACUGCUUAGUAGCGAAGCUAACGCGUGAAAUCGACCGCCUGGGGAGUACGGUCGCAAGAUUAAAACUCAAAGGAAUUGACGGGGACCCGCACAAGCGGUGGAUGAUGUGGAUUAAUUCGAUGCAACGCGAAGAACCUUACCUGGUCUUGACAUGUGCGGAACCCUCCAGAGACGGAGGGGUGCCUUCGGGAGCCGUAACACAGGUGCUGCAUGGCUGUCGUCAGCUCGUGUCGUGAGAUGUUGGGUUAAGUCCCGCAACGAGCGCAACCCUUGUCAUUAGUUGCCAUCAUUAAGUUGGGCACUCUAAUGAGACUGCCGGUGACAAGCCGGAGGAAGGUGGGGAUGACGUCAAGUCCUCAUGGCCCUUAUGACCAGGGCUUCACACGUCAUACAAUGGUCGGUACAGAGGGUAGCCAAGCCGCGAGGUGGAGCCAAUCUCACAAAACCGAUCGUAGUCCGGAUUGCACUCUGCAACUCGAGUGCAUGAAGUCGGAAUCGCUAGUAAUCGCAGGUCAGCAUACUGCGGUGAAUACGUUCCCGGGUCUUGUACACACCGCCCGUCA